CUUCGCAGUACCAAACUGAGAUGUGCCACUCAGCGCCAAGUACUGAUGGUACAGGGGAGGGGGCGGUCUCUGCGCCCUUCCAGCCAGAGCGGCUCACAGGCAGGCUGCCGGUGGGUGGGCGGGCAGGCUUCCCAGCUACACCCCGGCUGCCCAGUGCUGAGCUUGCAGGCUUCAUGGAGCCGGUGGGUCCUGCGGGAUAUUUCUGGCAGCAUCACAACAAAGCCGGCUUGGACCCUGGCAGAGCAAUUUGGUGCCUGCAGCCUCGGAGGAGGCCUGAGCUGCCUGCUGCCAUGGGCUGCAGCCUCAACUACCUCUGGAAGAUAAAAUCUAAGCAACGGGCCACUUACAUAAACGUAACAGGAAGUUUCUGAAUGGCCUCCCCUGUGUCUUGAGGCUGUUACCUCGGCGUUGCUAAACUAGCAGCUGAAAUGAACCCAGACAACACCUCAUCAAAGCUGUGGGGCAAGGAAGCAGCGGUCCAGAGGCAGACAGGAACAUUCCUGCCAAACCAGAGGAGGUUUCACUCUGUGGGCCCUUUUCCGCAGAAACACCAACAGCUGGGAAAGCCAUCAGAGAACCCAGCUGAUCAUCUGAUGAGAUUAAAGAAACGCCCCAACGUGAUCCCAGGCGUUACUAGAGGAGGAAGGAAGGAAGAAGCCAGGAGCUUCAGUAGACCGUGGACACUAGACGCUCAGCGCUUCUGGAGCACCCAAGCCAAGGGAGUUACAGAAUGAUAAGAAGAGGAUGGCAAAAAGUAGGAGAAGAAUAGUUUUCUGGAUAACGUGUCCGCUGGUGGACAACUGACCAGAGGAACUGAUCUACAAAUAAACUGAAACACACAUAAAUCCCCUAUAUCAGAAAGUAAAAAGCUCUAAAUAUUAUAAGAUAUGCAAAUAGAAGACUGCAAGUUUAUAGGCUUCAAUUUCAAAAGUGGCAUCAAACAAGGGAAAACAACAGACACCUGUGGCGUGCCGCCAUGUGCAGACGCGCCAUGAAGCACUGUGGAGUGUCCAGCAACAUGGCGGCUGUGGCCCCACCUGCCACGAGCAAAGAAAGCGCUGGAGGUCGAGAAAAGGCCGGAGCAACAGAACAGUAAUUCACAAGACAAGGACCUAAGAGAUGUCACGAAGUAAGACACGGGCGAUGAGGCUUCUGGAGUAGAGAAGUGGGAGAUCGCUUCUGACUCAGACGGUCGGGGGUGGCUUUGUUCCUGUAACCAUCUGUGCCUAUGACGGUCACCACUUCCUGAGCACUUGCGCUCUUCUUCAUGCUUCACACUCAUCUCUAAUCAUCACAACCCAGCAAGCUGGAUUUACACCAAGAGACCCAGGUGAAAUAUUCUGUGGAGCUCCCUGCAAAUAGACUGUCAGCCUCCACUCUGAUAAAAGGUAAAAUAUCCUCCUCUAAAUGGUCUGGUUCACAAAACCGACCCUAAAGUGAACUGAUAAAUCUGUUCUGACACACGGAAAACUAUUUUCAUAAUCCUGAAAAAGGCCUUUCUCCAAACCCCGGAGCUUAAACCAGCCUCACAAAGAGGCUUGUACCCUUGAGAGCCUGGCGGAGGAGGAAAUCACUUCACAUUUAUAACCCUGCUUUCCGGGACAACGGCAUGAGGAGCGCACGGCACCAUUGCAACCACCGAGAAAAAUCAGACAGUCAUGGAAUCAUGAAAAUUACAGAGAUAACACAUUCACAAGCAGCAAAUGCCUUGGCAAAACCUCACGCGGGAGAGGGAAAGCCAAGGAGGCCGGCUCAGAGGUGGACGCUCAUUGACUAACCGUCAAUUCUUCAUUAAAUGGAAGCUCUGACUUCCCAAGAAGCCGUAUUAAAAAUUAAUACCAAAAAGUGUGUUGCCAGCCUACACUCAUCAUUCAUGUAUAACAACACCAAACUGCAUUCCAGUGGAAUUUUGCCUUCGAAGUUACUCUGACACCAAAACUAAGUUUGAUGCUGUGACAGAAGCAGUCACAGCUCUGGGGCAUGAGGAUUUUAAAGACCCCUUACUCUGUAGGUCUCCAUCACACCGCUCUCUUAAUCACCAGAAUAAAUCAAGCUGCUGGUAACCCUACCUAAUCGCAGGCUUUGAAGCCAUUGAGGGGAGCUGUGACGCUGGGACCCUCUUGGGUAUGGCCUCCACAUGUUUCCCUCAGUCAUUACCUACAACUCAAGUGGCCUGGACCCCAGCCAACAUUCGCACGUCUCCCCAGAAGAGUGGGAAUGCAGCCUGCUCCAGCGGCUUCCGACCGGAGGGGCCUGUGGACGACAAUGAGCUCCCGACCCACACGUGCACGCUCUGCGAAGUCCUGAUCUCCCAGCUGCUGGUCAGGAGCCUGGAGAAGCUGCAUGUGAAGAGAGCUAGAACAGCUGGGGGGCUGCACCCCAACCAGCAACCCCUCGGGGCCCAGGCUCAGCACCCCAGUGAAAUGCUGCACAACCAGUGAUCCUGUGACCACAAGCAUCAGGGCACAGGGAUAGUGUGCACGCCAAAGGUGACUCACCUGCUUGGGGUCAAAUCCUAGCUCUGACACUUAGGAGCUGUGUGAACUUGGGGAAGGAAUUUAGCUUCCUUGAUCUCAGUUUCCUCAUCAUAAGACGGAGGUGAAAACAGCACCCAACUCACAGAGCUGUUAUCAGGAUUAAAGGAGUUGUUAUUUGUUAAGCACUUGGAACAGGGCCUGACACCUAGUAAAUGCAAUACGUGUCUCGGAUAGAUGGAUGGAAGAAGAGAUGGAUAAAUAUAUGCUACCUGGUUCGAUGGAUCUAAACCAGCUCAUUUUACACAUUCAAAAAAUAUUUUUUUAGUGCCUACCAUAUGCCCGGCCCCUGGAGUUCAAAGGUCCCUACCAUUCCGAGGCCACAUAUUUUUCACUGAACACUUACUGUGAGUAUCGAACGAGAUGACAUAGUUGAAAGUACUUGCUAAAUUUCCAUACAUAGUGAUGUGAUAUUAUCAUCCUUAUUUCUGUGUGACUAGCCUUUUCUGAGGCUUUAAAGGAGAAAAAAAA